CCUCGAAGAUGGCCUGACAGCCCCGUGGACCAGCAUUUCCCAUGGGAGUCAUGACACAGGACAGGAAGAAGAUGCUUCCUAGCCCCUCCAGCUUGGAGCUGCUGCUUCAUCUUUCGCCCAACUUGUUUAACGAUAAAACUGAACAGAGAAAGUGGCGAUGCAGCGGGAGUCUGACGGAGAGACAACGCAUCUUCGCUGCAGGACUCCAGCCCAGGCCAUGCUAAAUUAUCAGCCCCAAGAAUAGCAACAGCAACCGUCAAUCUCUGUUGCGGCUGUAGCUGGCGCUACCCUCAAUCCGUCUCUCUUGCUCUCCCGCUGUCUUACAUCUGCACCUCUGGAGCGAUCAGCGUGGGGUGCUAAUUUAAAGUGAUAGGAGGCAGAUUGACACCGGCUAACACCCAAAAAAGCCU